GCCAAUAUGGCUCAGUUGGUAGAGCAACGCAUUCGUAAUGCGUGGGUCAGGGGUUCGAGUCCCCUUAUUGGCUUA
rnacentral:tRNA from 1 species